rnacentral:lncRNA from 1 species
AAUCAUGUUGUUUGCGAGGACUUUUUGAGAACUUGUGCAAAAGUAAUAGUUUUUUGUUGCAAAGAAAGUAAAGGGGAAUUGUAACAUUGUGCUCUUCUGAUGUUAGACAAAACCAAGUCACAUUCUCACUAACUUGAGAUGUGCAGGAGAGAUGCUUACCAGAACUGAAAUGCAACAUUUUCUGUUACUUUUGGAUUUUGUUGUAAAAGUUUAACAUAUAUAGAAUUGACACUGAAGAAUAUGUGUGAUGAUGG